rnacentral:rRNA from 1 species
AUUGAACGCUAGCGGCAUGCCUAACACAUGCAAGUCGAACGAGUGGCGGACGGGUGAGUAAUGUAUCGGAACGUGCCUAAUAGCGGGGGAUAACUACUCGAAAGGGUGGCUAAUACCGCAUACUCUUGGUUCGGCCCCGAUGGGAUUAGCUAGUUGGUGGGGUAAAGGCUCACCAAGGCGACGAUCCCUAGCUGGUCUGAGAGGAUGACCAGCCAAACUGGAACUGAGACACGGCCCAGACUCCUACGGGAGGCAGCAGUGGGGAAUUUUGGACAAUGGGAGAAAGCCUGAUCCAGCCAUGCCGCGUGUAUGAGAAGGCCUUCGGGUUGUAAAGUACUUUCGGCAGGGAAGCGGUAUCUGCAGAAGAAGCACCGGCUAACUACGUGCCAGCAGCCGCGGUAAUUC